rnacentral:tRNA from 1 species
GGGCCUUUAGUAUAGCCUGGAUAGAAUGGUGGCUUCCGAAGCCGCAGACAGGGGUUCGAAGAGUUUUCUUUGGCGCGGUGCCUCCGCACCUUUCUUUUCGCAAAAGAAAGGGGCAAGGCGCCGAACGUCCCCUAAGGCCCG